GAAUUUUUUGUAAUCCAUGAUUGAAUUUUUUGAAAAUUUGUGAUUUUUUUUUUUAAUCCAUGAUCGAAUUUUUUUUUGUAAUCCAUGAUAGAAUUUUUUGAAAAUUUGUGAUUUUUUUUUUUUAACCCAUGAUCGAUUUUUUUGAAAAUUUGUUUUUUUUUUUUUAAUCCAUAUUAUUCAAAGAGAAAAUGAGAGAGAUGAUGAUUCUGAAGCCACCCUAUCCCAGCCAUAUUAUUCACAUAUCGAGUCCCAACAGCAACAGUAUAGGGAUGAGCACGACAGUGCAGGUGAGCAUGAAGGAUGGACAAUCUUCAAGGAUUUUAGAUUGGGAACACAACAAAAUACUAACACUCAAGGAUUUGGGAAUAGUCAGACGCCUGCUAAUAUCGAUGAUUCGUUUUUAGAUCGAAUCAAUGAAUUGUUAAACGAAUUCAAUCAAUGGCACCAGCGUGACCAAGAAGAACAAUAACGUCGUCUAUCAUUUUAUUUUUAGAUCAUAUGUUACUAAUUUUAUGCUUUAUUAUAGUCCAUGUAUGUUGAUAUACUUAUUCCAUGAUAAUUAUAUAUUUAUCCUUUUGUGUGAUGUAAAUUAAAUGCUGAAUGGCGGUUCAUGCAGGGAAAGAACAUAUCAAUAUUUACAUAUUCAUUCAAAAACAUGAAAAUUCUUCAUGGAGUACCCUCAUUUUUUAUUGAAUUCCUAAAAAACAAUAUUUAUAAUGAAUUUUAAUAAUUUUUUCAGAUUUUUUUUAAGCUUUAAUCUGACCGAUUCACCCGAUUCCCGAUCCGGAUCGUCGAUUCGUCGAUCCGAAUUGAAUUUUUAGAAACCCGAUCCAAGUCACCGAUCCGUUUUUUAAACCAUUGGUCCAUACCAUAAUUUUUCUAUUUUUUCAUUCUUUUAUCUCUUGCACGUCCACUCUGUUUUUUAAACCAUUGGUCCAUACCAUAAUUUUUCUAUUUUCUCAUUCUUUUAUCUCUUGGACGUCCACAUGCUUUCUUUAUUUUUUUUCUGGUACAUCUUCCUUCCCCUUCGUUUGCUGCGUGCCCUGAUAUCACCUCCCAUUGUCCACCCCUCGUAUCACCCCCCAUUGUGCACCCUCACGUUCUCUUUUUCCUCUCACGCUCCGUGAUCCUACCGUGACCACCAUUUUCCAAAACUUUUCUUCCCAUCGCCAUCUGUACAACCAACCCAUCACCCUGUGUGCAGCCAACCCAUCGCGGUCUGUGCGACCAACCCAUCGCCGGCCAGCCCAACAUCGUGCGUGAAUUCUACAACCCAUCUUCAUGCCACUGCCGUGCAAGACCCGUGCGUGAAUUCUACAACCCAUCUUCAUGCCACUGCCGUGCAAGACCCAUACCCCGCUGCCUUGCACCACCGAACUUUCUUCGCCACCAAGCCCGAGACCACGGCCAGUUGUGCGCCACCUCUCUCUCGACCCCUGUCCUCUCCACCUCGCUCUCACCAACCCACUUCUCUCGUCAGCAACCACCUACACUCUCUCCCGUCCUCCCAUCGCUUUCUCUCUCUAAAAACAAAAAACAAAACUCAGUUGUGCGCCAUCCCUCUCAGCCAUGCGCCCAUCUCACCACCCCAUCUAACCUGCUGGCCCCUACCUUUUCUGCAGCCACCUAUCUGCCAUCCCUUCCACAUAUCUCCACCAUCUUCUCUGCCCAUUCUCCUCUUCCAACCAGCAACCCAUCGUCUCCCUCUCUUCUCAGCCAUCCUUUCCUCUGCCCAAUUCACCUCAUCCUCUUCUUUCCGCAACCACCAGUAGCAGCCACCUCCAUAUCUCUCUAAUCCCACACCAGCCACGACCAUCACCUGUUGCUCUCUGUAAAGCCCUUUGCCAUCUCCGCCCCACUCAGCUGCUGCCUAGUGCCCCUUCUCUCCACCUGCUCUCGCACCCUCUGUUCUCCGCCUCUCUCUAACUUCCUGCAACCAGCUGCGAUCCAUCGAUGUUACCAUCUCCGCCCCACUCAGCUGCGGCCCAGUGCCCCUUCUCUCCGCCCUCUCUCGCUCUCCAGCCCAUCUCAAUGUCUCUCUAAUCCGCCACCAACUCUCUCCAUCGCAACCUCUCCCAGCUGUCCGCUAUCACCGCUGCCUCUCUCAAACGUCUGCCACUGCUCUCUCUCUCUGAUCACCUGCGAUCAAUCCUCCCUUUCCUGCCUGCAGCGCCCGACCAUCCUCUCACUCUCCCAAUUCCCUGUUCUUUUUCUCCCCUGUUCUUUCUCCCUCUAGAAGCCACGAGCCAAAUCACCACUCUCCCUUGUCUUUUCGUUUUAAGACUCCGUGAUUUUCGUUUUCAUUCAAUCCACUCAAAGUUUCGUCCACCCACGUCAUUUCGUUCCAUCUCGGGUAACUUUACCUUCUCUUUUUAUUGUUAGCUAACACGAUACCCGCUUAUUCAUAUAAAAACCCAAUACCCCAACUCUCUCUCUCUCUCUCUCUCUCUCUCUCUCUCACCACUACACUACCCACUACCAACCUACCUACACUACUACUACUACUACUUACUUUAUUAUAUUAUAUUAUUUACUUACUACUACUCUACUACUUUAGUUUUNNNNNNNNNNNNNNNNNNNNUUUGUUUAGUCUAACUACGACUACCGCCUUAUUACUAUAUAAAACCUAAACUACCCAACCUCUCUCUCUCUCUCUCUCUCUCUCUCUCUCUCACCCAAUCAUCCCCAACGUCAAACCC
rnacentral:lncRNA from 1 species